CACGUAGGGCGCGAGCGUUGUCCGGAAUUAUUGGGCGUAAAGAGCUCGUAGGCGGCCUGUUGCGUCCGCUGUGAAAGCCCGGGGCUUAACCCCGGGUCUGCAGUGGAUACGGGCAGGCUAGAGGUAGGUAGGGGAGAACGGAAUUCCCGGUGUAGCGGUGAAAUGCGCAGAUAUCGGGAGGAACACCGGUGGCGAAGGCGGUUCUCUGGGCCUUACCUGACGCUGAGGAGCGAAAGCGUGGGGAGCGAACAGG
rnacentral:rRNA from 1 species